rnacentral:rRNA from 1 species
UGUGAUGCCCUUAGAUGCUCUGGGCCGCACGCGCGCUACACUGACAGAGACAACGAGUUCAUCUCCUUGACCGGAAGGUUUGGGUAAUCUUGUUAAACUCUGUCGUGCUGGGGAUAGAGCAUUGCAAUUAUUGCUCUUCAACGAGGAAUGCCUAGUAAGCGGUCAUCAG